AUUGAACGCUGGCGGCAGGCCUAACACAUGCAAGUCGAGCGAGCGGCGGACGGGUGAGUAAUGUCUGGGAAACUGCCUGAUGGAGGGGGAUAACUACUGGAAACGGUAGCUAAUACCGCAUACCAUCAGAUGUGCCCAGGUGGGAGUAGCUAGUAGGUGGGGUAACGGCCCACCUAGGCGACGAUCCCUAGCUGGUCUGAGAGGUUGACCAGCCACACUGGAACUGAGACACGGUCCAGACUCCUACGGGAGGCAGCAGUGGGGAAUAUUGCACAAUGGGCGCAAGCCUGAUGCAGCCAUGCCGCGUGAGUGAAGAAGGCCUUCGGGUUGUAAAGCACUUUCGGCGGGGAGGCGUUACCCGCAGAGGAAGCACCGGCUAACUCCGUGCCAGCAGCCGCGGUAAUAC
rnacentral:rRNA from 1 species